GAUGAACGCUGGCGGCGUGCCUAAUACAUGCAAGUCGAGCGAACAGAUGAGGAGCUUGCUCCUCUGACGUUAGCGGCGGACGGGUGAGUAACACGUGGAUAACCUCCCUAUAAGACUGGGAUAACUUCGGGAAACCGGAGCUAAUACCGGAUAAUAUAUUGAACCGCAUGGUUCAAUAGUCAAAGACGGUUUUGCUGUCACUUAUAGAUGGAUCCGCGCCGCAUUAGCUAGUUGGUAAGGUAACGGCUUACCAAGGCAACGAUGCGUAGCCGACCUGAGAGGGUGAUCGGCCACACUGGAACUGAGACACGGUCCAGACUCCUACGGGAGGCAGCAGUAGGGAAUCCUCCGCAAUGGGCGAAAGUCUGACGGAGCAACGCCGCGUGAGUGAUGAAGGACUGCGGAUCGGAAAACUCUGUUACUAGGGAAGAACAAAUGUGUAAGUAACUAUGCACGGAUUGACGGUACCUAAUCAGAAAGCCACGGCUAACUACGUG
rnacentral:rRNA from 1 species